CUCCCUCACACUCCUCACCCAGCACCCACCAGGGCAUUUGCAUGCUGCUCCCUGGGGAGGGCCUUCCUGCAAGGCUGACAUAAAAGCUCAGCUCUAACCUGCCCUUGACUCACCAGGACUCCUCAUCUCAGCUUCUCAAAAUGAGGCUCCCUGCUCAGCUCCUGGGGCUGCUGCUCCUCUGGAUCCCUGGAACCAGUGGGGAUGUUGUGCUGACCCAGACUCCUCUCUCUGAGCCCAUCACCCCUGGACAGUCAGUCUCCAUCUCCUGCAGGUCCAGUCAGAGCCUCCUACACAGUGAUGGAAACACAUAUUUGCACUGGGUUGUGCACAAGCCAGGCCAGGCUCCACAGGGCCUAAUAUAUAAGGUCUCCAACAGGGACACUGGGGUCCCAGACAGGUUUAGUGGCAGUGGAUCAGGGACAGAUUUCACACUGACAAUUGGCAGGGUGGAGGCUGAGGAUGCUGGAGUAUAUUACUGUGUCCAAGGUACACAGGUUCCUCCCACAGUGGUGUAGCCCCGCACAAAAACCUCCCUGCCUGGGUGGCCCAGCUGCCACCUGUUCUGUAGAUCUGGGCAGCAGCUCAGCAGAUUCUCUGCCCUGUGAGAGGAAGGUGCUGGGAACUCAGGGAACAGGGUGCAGCUGAGGGCUGUGGACCAUGACUGCCUGGGCCACAGCUCACCACACCCAUGAGUGGCCCUGUCAGCUGCAGCAGCCUGGCCUGGCAUGUGGAGGACAACACAGAGGUGUCCAGUUGCCUUCUGAAUGAGCAGACAGGAUGAGUGUGGACACUGCAGAGGGAGCAGGACCUGGGCCCUGGGCAGGACUCUGGUAAAGAAUCAGAGGUCUUCAACUGGAGUGGAAAUUCAUCUUUUGUCCAGAAACUUAUUUUAUGCAAUUUUGUAAUGAACUCUGGAACUAAAAUGGAAACUUUAAUAACAGCUGACAGAAGUUCGAGCAUAUGACGACAAGAGGAGGGAGAACAGGGGACAACUUACAAAGGACCUCACCAGAAAGGUUCCUCAGAAGGCAGGGUCUGAAAAAGGAUGAAAACAGAGGGGUAGGUAAUAAUAGAGAGAGGUUAAUGAGAGAGAGAGAGAGAGAGAGAGAGAGAGAGAGAGAGAGAGAGAGAGAGUCUCUAUAUGAGGGGGUUGAACUGCUGGGUGAAGAGUCUCAUGCUGGAAGGACCCAGGUGGAAGGAGAUUACGUGUCAUGAAGGAGGCCGGGAGGACAAGUAAUAAAAGUUGGUACCUUCUAUAUUGGACGAGGCACAGGGAAGUACUAGUCAUCAGAGUGUGGAAGCCACCAGAUUCUCCUUUGAGGUGAAGACUAACGUUGGCUCAGUCAUGUGAUCUAUCCAUGGAAACACACAGAUUCCUGUAACCUGAAAACUCUUGUACUGUCCCCAGGAGACCUGCUCAGCCUUGGGCUUGGUGACUCCCAUGAGAUGAACAAGCAGAAACAAGGCCAAUUAAGGUUCCAAUCUUGAUUUUCUCCUAGGCCCGCAAAUCCUCCAAGAAAUCAAUCAAAAUAUGUCACCUGUGAGGGGAGAGGAAGCAGGAAAGCCCAGAACCCUGUGAGGGGGAAGCAGCUGAGCAAAAGCUCCCUGACCCUCAGCCUGGUGGAGGCUUGUGCCUGAGGCUGAGGCUGAGGCUCUUGGGAGAUGCACUGUGGUGCUGCUACAGGAACAACCUGUGACAUCUCAACCUGGGGCUGCUGAUGGGGAGGGAAAUCUGCCCCUGACCCACUGCCCCUGAAGCUGCAUGGGAUUCAAGCUGCCUAUUUGGAUGCCCAGGAGAGGAGCCUGGGAGCCCAUCCUGGCUUCUUCUGGGGCCAGGGCAUGUAGUCCUUGUGGUUGGAUAAAAGACUCUGGCUACACUUGCAGCUGAUGGUGACCAUGUGUCCUGCAGACACAGCCAGAGAGCCUGGAGACUGGGUCAUCACCUUGUCCCCAAAGGCACUGUCAAUCAAGAAAAUCAGAAUUGGACCCUAAUCUAUAUCUCUUUCUCUGUCUCUCAGCACACACACACACACACACACACACUCACACACAGGUGCACAUUUCAUAAUAUGCACUUUGAAAUAUCAUUUAACAGCCAUUCUCCAGGGAUGUGUGAUCAGCUCAUAAUUAUGCCCAUAUUGGAAUUCACCAUAAUUUCCCAGCACAUGUUUAAUGCCUUUUCCAACUCUAUGACUGUGGAAGACCAACCUUGCACAUGACUGAGUCACACUCCCUGGCUGGGUGCUGAGGCGUUCAGUCACAAAAAUGUGGCAGAGCUUUCCCCACCCUUCUUGGGUCUGAGGGUUGGUGUCUUGUGCAUGGGUGUGUCUUGCUACAGCCCCAUGGGUGAAGCUAUGCUCACCUGUUCCUUUGUAAUAUAACCCCUUGCCCUGUUUAGGAUGGAAUCUUCCAUGGAAGUGCCUUGUGUGUGUCCCCUUCUCUUACUGUGCCCUUGGGUGUGGCCUACCCAGGUGUCAGUCAACCUGCUGACAGUGGACAUCAUGAAGAUAGACUCAGCCCCCUGAAACCUGACCCCUUGCCUCAUUUGAAUAGUUUCUCCUCAAUAAAAGGGGUCAGAGUGUGCUCUUUCUCUUUCUGAGGACCCUUAAGGUCAGAGGAGCCAUCACAGAGACCCCAAAGAAAAAGGUA